AACGAACGCUGGCGGCGUGCCUAACACAUGCAAGUCGUGCGAGAAAGUUCCUUCGGGAGCGAGUAAAGCGGCGCACGGGUGAGUAACACGUAGGUAACCUGCCCCCCAGUCUGGAACAACUAGAGGAAACUCUAGCUAAUGCCGGAUGAGACCACGAUCCCUUCGGGGGUUGCGGCCAAAGAUGGCCUCUACUUGUAAGCUAUCGCUGAGGGAUGGGCCUGCGGGCCAUUAGCUUGUUGGUGAGGUAACGGCUCACCAAGGCUGUGAUGGCUAGCUGGUCUGAGAGGAUGACCAGCCACACUGGGACUGAGACACGGCCCAGACUCCUACGGGAGGCAGCAGUGGGAAUAUUGCGCAAUGGCGUAAGCCUGACGCAGCAACGCCGCGUGGGUGAUGAAGGCC
rnacentral:rRNA from 1 species